AAUAAGCUAUUUAAGAGCGUAAGGUGGAUGCCUUGGCUCUCAGAGGCGAUGAAGGACGUGAUAAGCUGCGAUAAGCUACGGGGAUUGGCACACACAAUUUGAUCCGUAGAUUUCCGAAUGGGGCAACCCACUAUAUUGAAGAUAUAGUAACCGUUAAGGAAGCAAACCCAGGGAACUGAAACAUCUAAGUACCUGGAGGAAUAGAAAACAAAAGUGAUUCCGCUAGUAGUGGCGAGCGAACGCGGAACAGCC
rnacentral:rRNA from 1 species